AUACGUAGGGGGCGAGCGUUGUCCGGAUUUACUGGGCGUAAAGGGUGAGUAGGCGGUUGUAUAAGUCAGAUGUAAAAGGCACAGGCUUAACUUGUGUAAGCAUUUGAAACUGUACAACUUGAGUGCAGGAGAGGUAAGUGGAAUUCCUAGUGUAGCGGUGAAAUGCGUAGAUAUUAGGAGGAACACCGGUGGCGAAGGCGGCUUGCUGGACAAAUACUGACGCUGAGGUGCGAAAGCGUGGGGAGC
rnacentral:rRNA from 1 species